rnacentral:rRNA from 1 species
AACGCGAAGAACCUUACCUGGGCUCGAACGGCUUCCUAACGCCGGUGGAAACACCGGUAUCCCGCAAGGGAGUGGAGUCGAGGUGCUGCAUGGCUGUCGUCAGCUCGUGUCGUGAGAUGUUGGGUUAAGUCCCGCAACGAGCGCAACCCUUGUCCUGUGUUGCCAUCAUUUAGUUGGGAACUCGCAGGAGACCGCCAGCGAUAAGCUGGAGGAAGGUGGGGAUGACGUCAAGUCCUCAUGGCCUUUAUGUCCAGGGCUACACACGUGCUACAAUGGACGGUACAAUACGUCGCUAACCCGCGAGGGGGAGCCAAUCGCUAAAAACCGUUCUCAGUUCGGAUUGCAGGCUGCAACUCGCCUGCAUGAAGCUGGAAUCGCUAGUAAUGGCAGAUCAGCACGCUGCCGUGAAUACGUUCCCGGGCCUUGUA